UACGUAGGGGGCGAGCGUUGUCCGGAAUGACUGGGCGUAAAGGGCGUGUAGGCGGUUUUUUAAGGCUGGAGUGAAAGUCCUGCUUUUAAGGUGGGAAUUGCUUUGGAUACUGGAAGACUUGAGUGCGGAAGAGGUAAGUGGAAUUCCCAGUGUAGCGGUGAAAUGCGUAGAGAUUGGGAGGAACACCAGUGGCGAAGGCGACUUACUGGGACGUAACUGACGCUGAGGCGCGAAAGCGUGGGGGGCAAAC
rnacentral:rRNA from 1 species